CAUGACUACACCAGUAAAUGCUACUAUACCACCUUUAACUACACCAGAGAAUAAUGCAACAGUAAAUGCUACCACACCACCCAUGACUACACCAGUAAAUGCUACUAUACCACCUUUAACUACACCAGAGAAUAAUGCAACAGUAAAUGCUACCACACCACCCAUGACUACACCAGUAAAUGCUACUAUACCACCUUUAACUACACCAGAGAAUAAUGCAACAGUAAAUGCUACCACACAACCCAUGACCACAACAGUAAAUGCUACUACACCACCCAUAACUACACUCGAGAAUAAUGCAACAGUAAACGUUACCACAACUCCCAUGACUACACCAGUAAGUGCUACUAUACCACCUUUAACUACGCCAGAGAAUAAUGCAACCGUAAAUGCUACUACAUCACCCAUGACUACACCUGGGAACAAUGCAACAGUAAAUGCUACCACACAACCCAUGACCACAACAGUAAAUGCUACUACACCACCUUUAACUACACCAGAGAAUAAUGUAACAGUAAAUGGCACCACACCACCCAUUACUACAACAGUAAAUGUAACUACACCACCUUUAACUACACCAGGAAACAAUGCAACAGUAAACGCUACCACACCACCUAUGACUACACCAGGAAACAAUGCAACAGUUUCUACACCACUUCUAACUACUUCAGUUAAUAACACAACAGUUAAUGCUACCACACCACCCAUGACUACACCAGGGAGUAAUGCAACAACAACAGUAAAUGCUACUACACCACCCAUAACUACACUCGAGUAUAAUGCAACAGUAAAUGCUACUACACCACCUCUAACUACACCAGGAAACAAUGCAACAGAAAACGCUACCACACCACCUAUGACUACACCUGUAAAUGUUUCUACACCACUUCUAACUACUUCAGUUAAUAACACAACAGUUAAUGCUACCACACCACCCAUGACUACACCAAGGAAUAAUGCAACAACAACAGUAAAUGCUACUACACCACCCAUAACUACACUCGAGAAUAAUGCAACAGUAAACGUUACCACAACACCCAUGACUACACCAGUAAGCGCUACUAUACCACUUUUAACUACACCAGAGAAUAAUGCAACAGUAAAUGCUACUACACUCCCCAUGACUUCACCAGGGAACAAUGCAACAGUAAAUGCUACCACACAACCCAUGACCACACCAGUAAAUGCUACUAUACCACCUUUAACUACACCAGAGAAUAAUGCAACAGUAAAUGCUACUACACCACCCAUGACUACACCAGGGAACAAUGCAACAGUAAAUGCUACCACACAACCCAUGACCACAACAGUAAAUGCUACUUCACCACCUUUAACUACACCAGAGAAUAAUGUAACAGUAAAUGGUACCACACCACCCAUGACUACACCAGGGAAUAAUGCAACAACAACAGUAAAUGCUACUACACCACCUCUUACUACACCAGUGAACAAUGCAACAGUAAAUGCUACUACACCACCCAUAACUACACUCGAGAAUAAUGCAACAGUAAACGUUACCACAACACGCAUGACUACACCAGUAAAUGCUACUAUACCACCUUUAACUACACCAGAGAAUAAUGUAACAGUAAAUGGCACCACACCACCCAUUACUACAACAGUAAAUGUAACUACACCACCUUUAACUACACCAGGAAACAAUGCAACAGUAAACGCUACCACACCACCUAUGACUACACCAGGAAACAAUGCAACAGUUUCUACACCACUUCUAACUACUUCAGUUAAUAACACAACAGUUAAUGCUACCACACCACCCAUGACUACACCAAGGAAUAAUGCAACAACAACAGUAAAUGCUACUACACCACCCAUAACUACACUCGAGAAUAAUGCAACAGUAAACGUUACCACAACACCCAUGACUACACCAGUAAGCGCUACUAUACCACCUUUAACUACACCAGAGAAUAAUGCAACAGUAAAUGGUACCACACCACCCAUUACUACAACAGUAAAUGUUACUACACCACCUUUAAGUACACCAGGAAACAAUGCAACAGUAAACACUACCACACCACCUAUGACUACACCUGUAAAUGCUUCUACACCACUUCUAACUACAUCAGUUAAUAACACAACAGUUAAUGCUACCACACCACCCAUGACUACACCAGGGAAUAAUGCAACAACAACAUUAAAUGCUACUACACCACCUCUAACUACACCAGUGAACAAUGCAACAGUGAAUGCCACCACACCACCCAUGUCUACAACAGUAAAUGCUACUACACCACCCAUCACUACUCCAGUAAAUGCUACUACACCACCGCUUACUACACCAGGGAAUAAUGCAACAGUAAAUGCUACCACACAACCCAUAACUACACCAGGAAACACUACAACAGAGAAUGCUACCCUACCACCUCAGUCUACACCAGGAAAUGCUACUACACCACCCAUAACCAACUCAACAACUGGACCCACUGUCUCUACCACUAACCCAACUAACACUACAACCACACCAGCUACCUGUCCUGCAGUGCCCUGUCCACCACUCAGUGUCUGUGUGAACUCCACCUGUCAGUGCGUGACAGGAACUAUUCCUUUAAAUAAUGCCUGUGUGGAAACUAAAACCUUCACUAGUUCACUUCGGGUGAACCGCACUUUUGUAAAUGCUAUGAAUGAUCCCAAAUCACCUGAAUUCCAGGAAACUGCUAAAGAGAUAAUUACUGC
rnacentral:lncRNA from 1 species